rnacentral:rRNA from 1 species
UGGGGAAUUUUGGACAAUGGGGGCAACCCUGAUCCAGCCAUGCCGCGUGAGUGAAGAAGGCCUUCGGGUUGUAAAGCUCUUUCGGCGGGGACGAAACGGUCCGUGACAACACCACGGACUAAUGACAGUACUCGCAGAAGAAGCACCGGCUAACUACGUGCCAGCAGCCGCGGUAAUACGUAGGGUGCAGGCGUUAAUCGGAAUUACUGGGCGUAAAGCGUGCGCAGGCGGUUGUGUAAGUCAGAUGUGAAAUCCCCGGGCUCAACCUGGGAAUUGCAUUUGAGACUGCACGGCUAGAGUGUGUCAGAGGGGGGUAGAAUUCCACGUGUAGCAGUGAAAUGCGUAGAUAUGUGGAGGAAUACCGAUGGCGAAGGCAGCCCCCUGGGAUAACACUGACGCUCAUGCACGAAAGCGUGGGGAGCAAACAGGAUUAGAUACCCCUGUAGUCCCUGAGCGGGCUGGCAAGGCGCAU